AUUGAACGCUGGCGGCAUGCUUUACACAUGCAAGUCGAACGGUAACAGGUUAAGCUGACGAGUGGCGAACGGGUGAGUAAUGCAUCGGAACGUGCCCGAUCGUGGGGGAUAACGCAGCGAAAGCUGCGCUAAUACCGCAUAAGAUCUGAGGAUGAAAGCGGGGGACCGUAAGGCCUCGCGCGAUCGGAGCGGCCGAUGUCAGAUUAGGUAGUUGGUGGGGUAAAGGCCCACCAAGCCGACGAUCUGUAGCUGGUCUGAGAGGACGACCAGCCACACUGGGACUGAGACACGGCCCAGACUCCUACGGGAGGCAGCAGUGGGGAAUUUUGGACAAUGGGCGAAAGCCUGAUCCAGCAAUGCCGCGUGCAGGAAGAAGGCCUUCGGGUUGUAAACUGCUUUUGUACGGAGCGAAAAGGUCCUUUCUAAUACAAGGGGCUCAUGACGGUACCGUAAGAAUAAGCACCGGCUAACUUCGUGCCAGCAGCCGCGGUAA
rnacentral:rRNA from 1 species